rnacentral:rRNA from 1 species
CCUACGGGCGGCAGCAGUGGGGAAUAUUGGACAAUGGGCGAAAGCCUGAUCCAGCCAUGCCGCGUGUGUGAAGAAGGCCUUCGGGUUGUAAAGCACUUUCAGUGGGGAAGAAAGCCUUGGGGCUAAUACCCUCGAGGAAGGACAUCACCCACAGAAGAAGCACCGGCUAACUCCGUGCCAGCAGCCGCGGUAAUACGGAGGGUGCGAGCGUUAAUCGGAAUUACUGGGCGUAAAGCGCGCGUAGGCGGUCUGAUAAGCCGGUUGUGAAAGCCCCGGGCUCAACCUGGGAACGGCAUCCGGAACUGUCAGGCUAGAGUGCAGGAGAGGAAGGUAGAAUUCCCGGUGUAGCGGUGAAAUGCGUAGAGAUCGGGAGGAAUACCAGUGGCGAAGGCGGCCUUCUGGACUGACACUGACGCUGAGGUGCGAAAGCGUGGGUAGCAAACAGGAUUAGAUCCCCCAGAGUC